UUAGUCUUUUAAUUGGAGACUGGAAUGAAAGAGUAAACCAGGAAAGAUUUUUUUAAAAAAAUUAAAUGAAUUUUACCUUUUAGUAAGAAGGCUAAAAUGACUCUUUUAGACAAGAAGACCCUAUAAAACUUUAUAUUUAUUUUUUCUUAUCAGAACAUUAAAUAUUUUGCUGGGGCGGUAAGAAAAAUGACUUUUCUUAAAUUAGAAGACUUUCAAGUUUUGAUAUCUAGAAGUUCUGAAAUAGAAAUAAGUUACUUUAGGGAUAACAGCUUAAUUUAUUUUGAAAGAUCAAAUUGACAAAUAAGUUUAUGACCUCGAUGUUGAAUUAAAAUUCCCUUUUUGUGUAAAA
rnacentral:rRNA from 1 species